UAUUGCUCUUCAACGAGGAAUCCCUAGUAAGCGUGAGUCAUCAGCUCACGUUGAUUACGUCCCUGCCCUUUGUACACACCGCCCGUCGCUACUACCGAUUGAAUGGCUUAGUGAGACCCUCGGAUCGACGCGUGGAAACCUUCACGGGUAUCUACUUGUUGAGAAGUUGGUCAAACUUGGUCAUUUAGAGGAAGUAAAAGUCGUAACAAGGUUUCCGUAGGUGAACCUGCGGAAGGAUCAUUAAAAAAUUGAGGUAUUUUAUAUACCUCUUGUAUUUAAAACCCUACUCCUUAAAUAUAAAGUUAUUUAAAAAAAAAAAACUUUCAACAAUGGAUCUCUUGGCUCUCGCAUCGAUGAAGAACGCAGCGAAAUGCGAUAGGUAAUAUGAAUUGCAGAAUUCCGUGAAUCAUCAAAUUUUUGAACGCAAAUUGCACUUCUUGGUAUUCCGAGGAGUACACAUGCUUGAGGGUCAGUUAAAAAAAAAUAAUCGUACAUCUUUUGAUGUGGCGGAUCUGGGUUAUCUGAUCUUAUUAAUCGGUUACCUAAAAUUUAAGAUGGAUAUAUAAUGUGAAGCGUACUAAGUUAGUCGCUAAUCAUUUAUGAUACUUAUUACAUUACCUUUAAAUAUUUAGUUGGUGAUGUAUAAAUUAUAAGAAAUGACCUCAAGUCAUGUGAGAGUACCCGCUGAACUUAAGCAUAUCAAUAAGCGGAGGAAAAGAAACUAACAAGGAUUCCCCUAGUAACGGCGAGUGAAGCGGGAAGAGCACAAAUUUAAAAUCUACCUGGUUUCCAGGUCGAGUUGUAAUUUGAAGAAACGUUUUUGACGUUUCGGGUUGGGAUAAAUCCUUUGGGAUGAGGUAUCAUGGAGGGUGAGAAUCCCGUGUAUACCAACCGCAGGGAUGUUAUUUAAUACGUUUUCUAAGAGUCGAGUUGUUUGGGAAUGCAGCUCUAAAUGGGUGGUAAAUUUCACCUAAUGCUAAAUAUAAGCGAGAGACCGAUAGCGAACAAGUACCGUGAGGGAAAGAUGAAAAGAACUUUGAAAAGAGAGUUAAAUAGUACGUGAAAUUGUUGAAAGGGAAACGAUUGAAGUCAGUCAUGCCGGCGGGAAUCAACUUAGAGGAAACUUUAAGUGCACUUCACGUUUGGCAGGUCAGCGUCGAUUUUGGAUAUCAUAAAAUGAUUGGGGGAAGGUAGCUUCUUCGGAAGUGUUAUAGCCCUUGAUAGAUGUGAUGUCUGGGAUCGAGGAUUGCAACGGAUACCCUUCGGGCUAGCCGCCUGAUCUCUAACUGGUGUUGGGUUACGGACAGCAUGCUGAUCGUGAUUUAAUUACUGGUUAAAAGGUUAGAGCGAGUGUAAAUUCGUUAAGGACGCUGACGUAAUGGCUUUAAACGACCCGUCUUGAAACACGGACCAAGGAGUCUAACAUGUAUGCGAGUGUU
rnacentral:rRNA from 1 species